rnacentral:rRNA from 1 species
UACGGAGGGGGCUAGCGUUGUUCGGAAUUACUGGGCGUAAAGCGCACGUAGGCGGCUUUGUAAGUUAGAGGUGAAAGCCCGGGGCUCAACUCCGGAAUUGCCUUUAAGACUGCAUCGCUAGAAUUGUGGAGAGGUAAGUGGAAUUCCGAGUGUAGAGGUGAAAUUCGUAGAUAUUCGGAAGAACACCAGUGGCGAAGGCGGCUCACUGGCCCGGUACUGACGCUGAGACGCGAAAGCGUGGGGAGCGAACAGG